GCUGUUGGAUAUCGAGGACUGACAGAAUCAAAGGUUAAUCUAAUGACAAAAUAUCUACAUUUUUAAUUUUUGAUCCGUCAUUGCCUAAGAAUAUAACUUUAGUGGAAAUUGCUAAAGAAUGACAAAUUACAAGGGAAGCAGCAUUGGAAGAGGGAGGUCAGUGAAAGCCUAAAGAGAAUGAGAAGACCACGGAUGGGGUACCUCAGCCUGCCCUCCCAAACAAGGCUACUUCUUCACAGGUAUUACCACAGAGCAAAGACCUCUGAGGUAGCUUAGGGCUGAAGCGAGUUGGCAGUUCCAGGACUGCCCAACAUCAACUCCUUAGUUGCUGUACUGUCCAGAGGUCUAGAGGAGCCAGAAAGUGUGGAAGUGGAGAGGGGCUCUCAGGGAAUCCUACAACAGCAGAGAGUGCUAGUAAAGCAGCAAGGGCUCAGGGUCAGAACAAAAGCAGCCGCUCUUCACCACCACAGGAAUGGACUUCAUGACCAGGGCUCCAAGGAUGAAUGCCAGUACAUCAAAGAAUGCCACAUUCUUCAGUGAUUCCCCAUCCAGGGAGCAGAUCACAUCAACCUUUCUGCCAGUGACCAGCGACAACUGGAAAGCCUCCUUAUUCUGCUGACAGUGUCACAACACCUAUGAGCCACAGAUUCCAUCCAUUGCCAGCUUUAUACCAGAGAUCAACUUGCCAAGGAGCAGAAGUGGGGAGAAGAAAUAUGGAAGUUGAAAGGAAGCUGAGUGUUUACCCUGAUCGUAAUAUUGGACUAAGUUUACCAAACUGAACUAAAAUUUCAUUCCCACCUUGGAAUCCAGUGGUGGAAACUUGGGAGGAACAUUAUUUUAAUUAAUACACAAAAAAUUAAGAAGCUACAUGUUCUUUUCCUCUUUCAAUAUAAUAUGGAUGAACUCUGCAAACCUGAUAGGAAUUUUUGUGG
ensembl:lncRNA